rnacentral:rRNA from 1 species
GACGAACGCUGGCGGCGUGCUUAACACAUGCAAGUCGAACGAAAAGAGGGAAAGAGCUUGCUCUUUCCGGAAUUGAGUGGCAAACGGGUGAGUAACACGUAAACAACCUGCCUUCAGGAUGGGGACAACAGACGGAAACGACUGCUAAUACCGAAUAAGUUCCAAGAGCCGCAUGGCCCAUGGAAGAAAAGGUGGCCUCUACCUGUAAGCUAUCGCCUGAAGAGGGGUUUGCGUCUGAUUAGCUGGUUGGAGGGGGAACGGCCCACCAAGGCGACGAUCAGUAGCCGGUCUGAGAGGAUGGACGGCCACACUGGAACUGAGACACGGUCCAGACUCCUACGGGAGGCAGCAGUGGGGAAUCUUCCGCAAUGGGCGAAAGCCUGACGGAGCAACGCCGCGUGAGUGAUGACGGCCUUCGGGUUGUAAAACUCUGUGAUCCGGGACGAAAAGGCAGAGUGCGAAGAACAAACUGCAUUGACGGUACCGGAAAAGCAAGCCACGGCUAACUACGUG